rnacentral:rRNA from 1 species
GACGAACGCUGGCGGCGUGCCUAAUACAUGCAAGUCGAGCGAAUGGAAGGGAGCUUGCUCCCAGAAGUUAGCGGCGGACGGGUGAGUAACACGUGGGCAACCUGCCUGUAAGACUGGGAUAACUUCGGGAAACCGGAGCUAAUACCGGAUACGUUCUUUCCUCGCAUGAGGGAAGAUGGAAAGAUGGUUUCGGCUAGCACUUACAGAUGGGCCCGCGGCGCAUUAGCUAGUUGGUGGGGUAAUGGCCCACCAAGGCGACGCUGCGUAGCCGACCUGAGAGGGUGAUCGGCCACACUGGGACUGAGACACGGCCCAGACUCCUACGGGAGGCAGCAGUAGGGAAUCUUCCGCAAUGGACGAAAGUCUGACGGAGCAACGCCGCGUGAGCGAAGAAGGCCUUCGGGUCGUAAAGCUCUGUUGUCAGGGAAGAACAAGUGCCAGAGUAACUGCUGGCACCUUGACGGUACCUGACCAGAAAGCCACGGCUAACUACGUGCCAGCAGCCGCAGUAAGAC